GAUGAACGCUGGCGGCGUGCCUAAUACAUGCAAGUCGAGCGAACGGACGAGAAGCUUGCUUCUCUGAUGUUAGCGGCGGACGGGUGAGUAACACGUGGAUAACCUACCUAUAAGACUGGGAUAACUUCGGGAAACCGGAGCUAAUACCGGAUAAUAUUUUGAACCGCAUGGUUCAAAAGUAAAAGACGGUCUUGCUGUCACUUAUAGAUGGAUCCGCGCUGCAUUAGCUAGUUGGUAAGGUAACGGCUUACCAAGGCAACGAUGCAUAGCCGACCUGAGAGGGUGAUCGGCCACACUGGAACUGAGACACGGUCCAGACCCCUACGGGAGGCAGCAGUAGGGAAUCUUCCGCAAUGGGCGAAAGCCUGACGGAGCAACGCCGCGUGAGUGAUGAAGGUCUUCGGAUCGUAAAACUCUGUUAUUAGGGAAGAACAUAUGUGUAAGUAACUGUGCACAUCUUGACGGUACCUAAUCAGAAAGCCACGGCUAACUACGU
rnacentral:rRNA from 1 species